GUUAGCCAAUGCUAUCCUGCACGCCGUCAUUGAAAGGCUACUACUGGCACCUUAAGAUAAACAGCCGUCUUACCGUAUGGUUGACCCUGCAGGUCGUACUGCUGCAUGCGGUAAACCGUGAACUCAUGAGCCGCCUCGGCCGGUAGCGGAGACACCAGGAUCAGCACCGCGGGGAUAAACACGAUGAAGAUGAUUUGCGACCACAGGCCCGGGGGAGGCAAUAUUACCCCGGCUUCUUCCACGCACCAGGGGAAUUGAUUUAGCCAUCAUUUUCAUUAAGGCCAGUGGAAAUAAGACAAAGGAAAAAAAAAAGAGAGGAGGCCAUAGGGCCGAGCUGCAGCCCGUUAGCCUCGUUGGUUGCGCGGGGCAACAGUCAGAUAAUGGAUGGCGAGGCUCGGUGGAGCCAGCCGCUCCAUUAGGUUUUGUUAAUGCGGUCAGAGACUCAUCCGCCUUCAGAUCCACUUUCAGAAACGCUCACUCACGCUGGAUCUCUCUUUACUGUCUAUUGUCUUACUGUGAGAGGAAGACUUCUCCCACAGAGUCGUCACAGCAAUUACCAGAGAUACUGUACCCCAUGAUGACUUGCAACUUGGAAA